UUGGGAAGUCCUCGUGUUGCACCCUU
rnacentral:rRNA from 1 species